GGGUUCUCUUCCACCCCCGCCCUUCUCCGCCUUUUCUGCCUUCCACUCACGGGUUUCUCAGGUUCCUUGUUGAGUGGCUGUGUUUUUUUUCUUUCCCUUCCACAGGGUGAAAACUUCCCCAGUUUCCAAUUUGUGCGUGCUCAGCCCUGGGGCUUGAUGAAGACAAAAUUGGUUGUUGAGAUGCUCACUAUUUACAGAGAAAAACCAAACUGCCGUUGCUGGGGGUGCGGCCUCGCUGGUGUGAGGACCUCGGCUCCAUCCCCAGGCCUGCAAAGUAAAAAAGAAAAGAAAAAGAAAAUUGAAAGGCGGCUGCUCCUGCCCCACCCCCUCCUGGCUGGUGUCUGGGGCCAGCCCAGCCUGGCUGAGCACACAGGAAAUGAAAUGGCUCAUCGCUUCGCCCUUUAGACCUGAGAGAGGGGAGGGCGGGUCUGGAGGACCCCAGGAUGGCGUGUCAGAGGCCCUAGGGGCUUGGGCUUUGUCCAGCCACUGAGCCCCGGCUGCCACCCUGCCCACCAGCCUCACCUGAGGUCCCUCUCUUCUCUCCUGGCCCUGUCUAUGUCCUGCUCUUCCAGAAAGGCUGAAGUGACCCUGCCAUUACUCACCGCCAGGUCCCUGCCGGCUGCAGCUCUCAGACUCAGGUUAGCCUGGGGUGGACAGGGAGCUCCUGGGGCCCUGUCCCCCCUUGGGGCAGUGUGGAGAGAAGCAGCCAACAUUCCUGGUGUCCCCCAGGUACCUGCUGAAGUGAAUCCCUGCAGAUGCUGCCUUAUAAACAGCUGCUGGAAUUUUCAACUGUGCUGUCGGGUUGGGGAGGAGGAAGUCCCCUGGGAGGGUGGUGGCCAUGAAGCCAGUUCAGAAGGGCACAGCACAGCUUUCUUUCAGCCCUGAAUUCUUUCUUCUUUUCUUCUCUUCGCGUGCUGGGGAUGGAACCCAGGGCCCCUCCUUGCUAGGCGAGGGCUCCCCGCUGAGCCCCACCCUGGCCCGCAGCCUUCACCUCGGGGCUGUGCUUUGCUCUGCUGGUGGGAGAGGGGAAGCGGUUCCGGGCACUUCCACAUUUGCAAACACCCUCGCAUUCUCAGUUUCCCUCUUAUGUUGGGACUCAGAACUUGAUCCCCCCAACUAUGGCACUCCUUGCUCCUGCCUUGCGGUCCCCAUCCCCAGGCCCAGACUGGAAUUGCAGGCAUGAGCCACCACACCCAGCCUCUCUCUAGCCCUUCACCCGAGUAAGUCACAGGACUCAGAAUUCCUCACCCCCAGCGGGUCCCAGGAACCAGAACUCCUCUCCCCUAACGCCAGCCACGGAACCUGGAAGGAGGCCCUUUCUUCUCCUGGGCUGGGGUGAGCGCAGCGGCGGGGCAGUCUAGCGUCCCUGGGGCCCUGCGCUCCAUCCGCCCCAUCCGCCCCAUCCGCAGCUACUGCAAUCAAGAGACAAACUAAACCCAUUCUCCCUCGGAGACCCCCAUUGCAGAGGGUCCAUUGCAGAGGGUCCUGCCCCACGUCCCGGAGGAAGAGAGCUGCACAGAGAUGCCAAGACGAGUCUGCACCCCUCAGUCUGUUCUCGUUUUUGUCUAGUCGCGUUGGCAUACUGCUAUCCUUCCUUCCUUCCUUCCUUCCUUCCUUCCUUCCUUCCUGGGGUUGAAGCCAGGGGCUCUUAACCACUCAGCUACACAUCCAGCCCUUUUUAAAAUAUUUUACUUAGAGACAGGGUCUCCCUAAGUUGCUUAGGGCCUUGCAAAAUUGCUGAGCCUGGCUUUGAACUCGCGAUCCUCGGCCUCCUGAGCGGCUUGAAUUACAGGUGUGCACCACCGCGCUCGGCACCACUCUCCUUUCUUCCCCAGCCCAAGGCCUGCGAAUAAAUUGCUUUCCUGGGUCUUCACUCAUCAUUCUGAAGAUUCCUGUGUCACAUGAAAGUUUUUCUGUGUAUUUGGUCCUGGGGACUGAACCAAGGGAUGCUUAACCACUGAGCCACACCACUGGCCCUUUUGAUUUUGAGACCGGGUCUCACUACGUUGCCCAGGCUGGCCUCCGACUGGUGGUCCUUCUGCCUCAGCCUCCUGGGUCACUGGGAUGACAGGCUGCGCCUCUGCACCUGGCUCCAUGUGAACCUUGUGAGAAAAAGCGUCACUGCUUUAGGCCCCCGCCCUGGUCCCUUCCCUUCUUGGACUUGUCCCUUCUUCUCAUAAACCUCCAGACCUCCCUGGGGGCGAGGGGCAGGGCACACACAUAGCCCUCCCCCUCAGCAGUUCCACUGUGACUCAGCUGCCCCGUCCCUGAAGCUGGGAAGGCUGGAGCCAUGAUCCACCCCCCUGGCC
rnacentral:lncRNA from 1 species